UCUGCGUAAAAGGGUUAGAAACAAAACGAGGAAAAGGGGGAAAGCAGCAAAAGCUGCGUUAAAGAGAAACAGAGCUUUGAGCCUACAAAAACAAAAGAACACGGACCAAGCUCGGCAGAAGCAAAACGGACAGAGGCGAUCAAAAGCAACACUAAAGUGAGUUUACUUUGUUCUAGCAAAGGGAUUUACAGAGAAGGGGAACAAGAGACAACAAUUGACGCGGGCGAGGGUUUUGUUAAUUAGAGAGCACAGGUUGAUAGCUCUUGGUGAGCCUCGCACUUGUUCGCGUGGGCGGAAAUUUUAUCAAUUGUUAUGGUCUUUUCUUUGAACUCUUAAAGUCGCUCCAUGGUCAUUCUUUUAGUGUCUUGAGUAUUCUUUGUUAUUAUAUACUUAUGUUGAGUAUCGCUCAUUCUUAUUAAAUUUGGAGAUAAAGUCAUAUUUUUAGUUGUUAGUGGAUGGACUAUUAAAGGUAGAUAUUUAUUUUGGUUAA